AGAUUUGUUUCAUUUCCAUAGAGUUUUAAUUUCGACAAAAACUAGUUUUUUUUUUAAAUUGGCUUAAUCUCCAUAUAUAUAGUUUUCGCUGGCUUUACCUUUUUGGAAAUUUUGUAAAAUUUGCGGUUUUAUUUUCAAUAAAAUCCAGAUGACCAAUAAAGACCAGUUUUGUAGUAAACGUAUGAUCAAAUCAUUUUUCUACAUUAGUCCAUUUUACUAUACAUAAUUUAUGUUAGGUCCACCAAAUUUUGUUUAAAUUGUUUUAUAGAUUCCUUUUUCAUCGUAUGUUUGGACUCCAGCCACUUGAAAGCCCAACAAAAAAACUGUCACUAGACUUGGCCCUACUUCCCAUGUGAAACAAAAGAGAGAAAACAAAACAAAUGCCAUUAGUAAACCUUUAAUUCCCUUCAUCUUUAAAUAGAAGAUUACAAAUCUUUAAACGUUACUUAACUUUCUACCCCCAUCAAAAACCCAAUGAAAAUUUCAUGAACAGAUUCUCACAUUCUUAACACUCUCUUCCCCAAAACGAUGACCACCGUUACUACUUCUCUCUUCUUGUUACUUGUUCUUUCAUGUGUUCUCCAAGUUUCUUCCAACGGAGACGCAGAGAUACUGAGUCGAGUCAAAACCAGCAGACUUUCUGACCCAGAUGGAAAGUUAAAUGAUUGGGUCAUAACCGGAGAUAACCGGAAUCCCUGUAACUGGACUGGAAUCACAUGCGACUCCAAAAACGGCGCCGUCACGGCAAUAGAUCUCUCCGACUACGGAGUCUCCGGUGGGUUCCCGUACGGGUUGUGCCGUAUACGUACCCUCGUCAACAUCACUCUUUCUAAAAACAAUCUCAACGGUACGAUAGAUUCAUCUCCUCUCUCACUAUGCUCUCGAAUCCACGUCCUGAUCCUCACAGAAAACAGCUUCUCCGGGAACUUACCGGAGUUUUCGCCGGAGUUUCGUAACCUACGCGUUCUCGAACUGGAAUCCAACUUUUUCUCCGGCGAGAUUCCCGAGAGCUACGGAAAGCUUACAUCUCUGCAAGUUCUGAAUCUCAACGGCAACUCGCUCGCCGGAAUCGCUCCGGCGUUUUUGGGUAACCUGACCGAGUUGACUCGUCUCGAGCUCGCGUACGUUCAGUUCGAGCCUGGUCCGAUCCCGUCGGCGUGAGUGAUCAAGGUGAUAGAGUUGAUCAUGUUACCCGGGUGCAGCAGGGGCUUGUAAUCAAGAAAGCUGUGGGAUUAAACAGGUUCAAGAAAGAGAACUUGUGAGUGCCAGGAUUCAGAAUUGACUACAUGUAUAUCAGGAGUUGAUACACAGUGUUGAGAGUAAGCACGAACCAAGGUGGAGUUUGUGGGAUAAUGUGGUUCGUUGCUUGAGUCUCAAGAAGAGCAAAGGCGGGAGCAGUCCUUUGGGCUAGGCCGAAAUACGGAUUGAUAAAGACUUAUGCAUAAUGGGCCGGUGUAAUAAUGGAUGAAGCCCAUUAAGCAGAACGCUCGCGAGCUGAAAAGCUGAGUGACACGAGCUAAUAUUAGGUCACUUUCAGGUUGUUGAGAGGUGAUGAUCUCUUGUAACAGAAACGAUCAGAUCCGAUAAGCUCAUAGUAAAUUCCAGGAGGAGAAUCCUGAAGAGAGAAGUAUCCAGGGUGAUUCGGGGAACUCUAUAAUCUUGUGUGUUCAUCUUGUUUUCUUUAUCGCAAACAAACGAGUGAAUCAAACACUAGAGUGAGAGAAAGAGAGAGCAAGGAAUCACAUACGUAUCGACAACACAUCUAAAGUUAUGUUUUUUAAAAUAUUAUGUUCUUUUCAACAACUACGGUUAUUAUGUUCUCUUCAAAUUUUUAAAAUUCGCACCACAACCUUUUUUCCUAACAAAAUUUACUCUUGCUCAUGCAACAGAAUCCAGUAUAUGAUAAUAAAAAUUUUAUCCUUAAAUAAUGCACCAUCUAUUGGUAAUAUUGUUUGUUUCUUUCUUGUGGAUAGUGAGUGUACUUCUUGUAAUGACCAGUGAUAAAUUUUAAAUUUGUUUUUGGGAAAGAGAAACGCAGAACACUAGAUUCAGACAGAAGAGUCUUCACGGCGAUUGCAUAUUCCAAAGCGAAAAUAAUUAGAUGAGUUGGUGGUAGUUUUGAAAUGAUAAUUGAAUGCUAAUUAAGAAGAAGCCUCAAAUUCCGAGGAAUCCUAUGUCAAUCUGGUUCUAGUUUCUCCUCGAGUAGUUGAGAGAGAUGGAGCAAAAUUGCAAAGAAGUCUCGUUACACUGUUAAAUUAUUUAUCUAGGAUUAGACAUUAACUGCGCCCAAUUGAUGACCACCAAAGGAUUAGACACUUACCAUCCCUAAGUCAAUGCUACUGGGCUAUUUGUUUUUAAGUUUCUUUUAAAAUUAUAUAGGUAGGCUUAAUAUAAUGGUUUUUUUUUUCAUUUGAAUAAACCACAAAUGUUUUAAGUCAUUGAGACCAUUUUAUAAUUGUAUUAUAAGCACCUCAAAGAAAGGUUUUGCAGAACACAAAAAAGGAAAUGCCAAACGUAAACAUUAUUCUUAUGAAGUAUAAUUUUUGUUGAUACGUAAACGCAAAUCUAAGAGCAUUAAAACAAACACUAGAAGCCCAAAACAUUCAUAUCAAGUAGUAAUAUCCAACUCUGCUUUUGAAAAUUCGCAACGACUAAAACCAAUUGGUUAUAGUUAGCUAACGUCCACGUUACAGUCUGAUCUAUUUUUAGGUUCUUGGUGAGAACUUACGUGCUUUUAUACAUAAUACAUACUUUCGGUUUUACUCCAUAUGUCUAUUCUUUCUGUUUCUGUUGCGGGAAACAGAAAUACAUAAAGUAGAUUUAAAACUCACUCUCACAUUCUUUCCCUCCACUUCUCUUGUCCGUUACCCAAAAGGAGAUUUUGACAUUUGAGCUCAUGCGUUGCUCACACUUCUCUUUCUUCACAAAUUUGCCGUUAUGUUGCUAAUAAUCAUAGUAUCUCUUAAAUAAUGACAAUAAUUCAUUUUCCAUCAAAAUAUACAUAUAUAAGCAGUUUUUUGUUGCAGAUUUGUUUCAUUUCCAUAGAGUUUUAAUUUCGACAAAAACUAGUUUUUUUUUUAAAUUGGCUUAAUCUCCAUAUAUAUAGUUUUCGCUGGCUUUACCUUUUUGGAAAUUUUGUAAAAUUUGCGGUUUUAUUUUCAAUAAAAUCCAGAUGACCAAUAAAGACCAGUUUUGUAGUAAACGUAUGAUCAAAUCAUUUUUCUACAUUAGUCCAUUUUACUAUACAUAAUUUAUGUUAGGUCCACCAAAUUUUGUUUAAAUUGUUUUAUAGAUUCCUUUUUCAUCGUAUGUUUGGACUCCAGCCACUUGAAAGCCCAACAAAAAAACUGUCACUAGACUUGGCCCUACUUCCCAUGUGAAACAAAAGAGAGAAAACAAAACAAAUGCCAUUAGUAAACCUUUAAUUCCCUUCAUCUUUAAAUAGAAGAUUACAAAUCUUUAAACGUUACUUAACUUUCUACCCCCAUCAAAAACCCAAUGAAAAUUUCAUGAACAGAUUCUCACAUUCUUAACACUCUCUUCCCCAAAACGAUGACCACCGUUACUACUUCUCUCUUCUUGUUACUUGUUCUUUCAUGUGUUCUCCAAGUUUCUUCCAACGGAGACGCAGAGAUACUGAGUCGAGUCAAAACCAGCAGACUUUCUGACCCAGAUGGAAAGUUAAAUGAUUGGGUCAUAACCGGAGAUAACCGGAAUCCCUGUAACUGGACUGGAAUCACAUGCGACUCCAAAAACGGCGCCGUCACGGCAAUAGAUCUCUCCGACUACGGAGUCUCCGGUGGGUUCCCGUACGGGUUGUGCCGUAUACGUACCCUCGUCAACAUCACUCUUUCUAAAAACAAUCUCAACGGUACGAUAGAUUCAUCUCCUCUCUCACUAUGCUCUCGAAUCCACGUCCUGAUCCUCACAGAAAACAGCUUCUCCGGGAACUUACCGGAGUUUUCGCCGGAGUUUCGUAACCUACGCGUUCUCGAACUGGAAUCCAACUUUUUCUCCGGCGAGAUUCCCGAGAGCUACGGAAAGCUUACAUCUCUGCAAGUUCUGAAUCUCAACGGCAACUCGCUCGCCGGAAUCGCUCCGGCGUUUUUGGGUAACCUGACCGAGUUGACUCGUCUCGAGCUCGCGUACGUUCAGUUCGAGCCUGGUCCGAUCCCGUCGGCGUUCGGGAGCUUGGCGAAGCUGAGUAUCCUCCGGCUAACGAACUCGAACUUCGUCGGAGA
rnacentral:lncRNA from 1 species